CAUCCUGGGGCUGUAGUAGGUCCCAAGGGUUGGGCUGUUCGCCCAUUAAAGUGGUACGCGAGCUGGGUUCAGAACGUCGUGAGACAGUUCGGUCCCUAUCCGUCGCAGGCGGAGGAAAUUUGAGAAGACCUGUCCUUAGUACGAGAGGACCGGGAUGGACGUACCUCUGGUGUACCAGUUGUCCUGCCAAGGGCAUGGCUGGGUAGCUAUGUACGGAAUGGAUAAGCGCUGAAAGCAUC
rnacentral:rRNA from 1 species